GAUGAACGCUGGCGGCGUGCCUAAUACAUGCAAGUCGAGCGAAUGGAUUAAGAGCUUGCUCUUAUGAAGUUAGCGGCGGACGGGUGAGUAACACGUGGGUAACCUGCCCAUAAGACUGGGAUAACUCCGGGAAACCGGGGCUAAUACCGGAUAACACUUUGAACCGCACGGUUCGAAAUUGAAAGGCGGCUUCGGCUGUCACUUAUGGAUGGACCCGCGUCGCAUUAGCUAGUUGGUGAGGUAACGGCUCACCAAGGCAACGAUGCGUAGCCGACCUGAGAGGGUGAUCGGCCACACUGGGACUGGGACACGGCCCAGACUCCUACGGGAGGCAGCAGUAGGGAAUCUUCCGCAAUGGACGAAAGUCUGACGGAGCAACGCCGCGUGAGUGAUGAAGGCUUUCGGGUCGUAAAACUCUGUUGUUAGGGAAGAACAAGUGCUAGUUGAAUAAGCUGGCACCUUGACGGUACCUAACCAGAAAGCCACGGCUAACUACGUGCCAGCCGCCGCCGUAA
rnacentral:rRNA from 1 species